UGCUUGCGUUAAGGAUUGAAAUGGCAUCCUUUUUACUUUUUUGUAAAAAGAUAUAAUGGAAAGCCUGUUAAAAC
rnacentral:sRNA from 1 species